AGUGAACGCUGGCGGUAGGCCUAACACAUGCAAGUCGAACGGCAGCACAGGAGAGCUUGCUCUCUGGGUGGCGAGUGGCGGACGGGUGAGGAAUACAUCAGAAUCUACUCUGUCGUGGGGGAUAACGUAGGGAAACUUACGCUAAUACCGCAUACGACCUACGGGUGAAAGCAGGGGACCUUCGGGCCUUGCGCGAUUGAAUGAGCCGAUGUCGGAUUAGCUAGUUGGCGGGGUAAAGGCCCACCAAGGCGACGAUCCGUAGCUGGUCUGAGAGGAUGAUCAGCCACACUGGAACUGAGACACGGUCCAGUCUCCUACGGGAGGCAGCAGUGGGGAAUAUUGGACAAUGGGCGCAAGCCUGAUCCAGCCAUACCGCGUGGGUGAAGAAGGCCUUCGGGUUGUAAAGCCCUUUUGUUGGGAAAGAAAUCCAGCUGGCUAAUACCCGGUUGGGAUGACGGUACCCAAAGAAUAAGCACCGGCUAACUUCGUGCCAGCAGCCGCAGUAA
rnacentral:rRNA from 1 species